AUUGAACGCUGGCGGCAGGCCUAACACAUGCAAGUCGGGCGAACGAGGCUUCGGCCAAGUGAGCGGCGAACGGGUGAGUAACACGUAGGAAUCUGCCUGGUAGUGGGGGACAACGUCUCGAAAGGGACGCUAAUACCGCAUACGCCCUACGGGGGAAAGCAGGGGCUCUUCGGACCUUGCGCUAUCAGAUGAGCCUGCGUCGGAUUAGCUAGUUGGUAGGGUAAAGGCCUACCAAGGCGACGAUCCGUAACUGGUCUGAGAGGAUGAUCAGUCACACCGGAACUGAGACACGGUCCGGACUCCUACGGGAGGCAGCAGUGGGGAAUAUUGGACAAUGGGGGCAACCCUGAUCCAGCCAUGCCGCGUGUGGGAAGAAGGCCUUCGGGUUGUAAAGCACUUUAGGUCGGGAGGAAGGUUCGCUGGCUAAUAUCCAGCGGAAUUGACGUUACCGACAGAAUAAGCACCGGCUAACUCCGUGCCAGCCGCCGCCGUAAAAC
rnacentral:rRNA from 1 species